GUUGCCAAUGUUCUCACCCUUUUCCAGAGUAUUGCAGCUAAUGGUGAAACCAGGCAAAAAUUCGUCAACUCUUGUGUUCCAAACUUCUUAAUACAAAUGAUACUGUUCCAAAGCCUAGAAGAGAUAUAUGAGAAUGUCCGAGCAAUAUCCCUCUCAGUCAUUGGAAUCUUAUGCCAGGUAUGGCUAGAGAACCCGAAGUCAUUCAGUGGGCCAUUGAGAGUGAUAUGGUGGAAGUCUGUUGAACUAGUAUCGCGAUAGGUCCCCGUGUUGGAUUAACAUUUCAAGAAAGUGUACGAAUUGGACUACUACUAUCAUAAGGAGGCGAGUUUGGUUUUGUAGUAUUUUCACUAGCAAACAGGCUUGGAGUACUGCCACUUGAGCUGAACAAGUUGCUUAUAAUCAUUGUUGUGUUGCCAAUGGUAUUGACCCCAUUCCUCAAAGAAGUUGGAAGGAAGGCUCCUAAGAUCAUUGAUGAGAAGUUUGAGGGGAA